AAGUCGUAACAAGGUUUCCGUAGGUGAACCUGCGUCAUUAACACGUAUCCAAACGUUAAACCCCCCUGUGAACCUUCAGUCGUACUCGUACGUCCGUUAGAAAAAGCAGCAAUCCCUGGUAAAUCAUCGCCGAACAGUUUUCGAUUCAGGGACGUCUGCAAGUGGCCUGGCAUCCCCAAGCAGUUAGUGUCUGAAAGUGUCACUAACGUUAGUGUCUGAAAGUGUCACUAGGAUGACGCAGUCACGAUCGUUGGAGGACUGGGUGCAAGCCCCCUUAUCACACCCCUGCUCUAUCUAUGGUGAUCCUGCGGGAGUCCUGCGGUCGAACGCCGAAACCGAACAACUGUUAACAAUGGAUAUCUUGGUUCUC
rnacentral:misc_RNA from 1 species